rnacentral:misc_RNA from 1 species
UUUCCGUAGGUGAACCUGCGGAAGGAUCAUUAUCGUACAAAGUGUGAGGGGCAUGCGAGGGCUGUCGCUCACACAAAAGUCGGGCACGCCGGAGUGUGUCCUCUUGCAUAAUAAUCCAUCUCACCCUUUGUGCAUCCCCGCGGGGCCACCCGUCGGGCUCAUCUCGGAGGGGGGCUCGCGUUUUCCCACAAGCCCCCCUUUUACAAGUUUAGAAUGACCACAUUUAUGCAAUCAAUACAACUUUCAACAACGGAUCUCUUGGCUCUC